rnacentral:rRNA from 1 species
AUACGUAGGUGGCAAGCGUUGUCCGGAAUUACUGGGUGUAAAGGGAGCGCAGGCGGGCGUGCAAGUCAGCUGUGAAAUCCAUGGGCUUAACCCGUGGGCUGCAGUUGAAACUGUAUGUCUUGAGUGAAGUAGAGGUAGGCGGCAUUCCGAGUGUAGCGGUAAAAUGCGUAGAUAUUCGGAGGAACACCGGUGGCGAAGGCGGCCUACUGGGCUUUAACUGACGCUGAGGCUCGAAAGUGUGGGGAGCAAACAGGAUUAGAUACCCUGGUAGUCCACACUGUAAACGAUGAUUGCUAGGUGUGGGGGGUCUGACCCCUUCCGUGCCGCAGUUAACGCAAUAAGCAAUCCACCUGGGGAGUACGGCCGCAAGGCUAAAACUCAAAUGAAUUGACGGGG